AGUGGACGCUGGCGGUAGGCCUAACACAUGCAAGUCGAACGGCAGCACAGUAAGAGCUUGCUCUUACGGGUGGCGAGUGGCGGACGGGUGAGGAAUACAUCGGAAUCUACUUUUUCGUGGGGGAUAACGUAGGGAAACUUACGCUAAUACCGCAUACGACCUACGGGUGAAAGCAGGGGAUCUUCGGACCUUGCGCGAUUGAAUGAGCCGAUGUCGGAUUAGCUAGUUGGCGGGGUAAAGGCCCACCAAGGCGACGAUCCGUAGCUGGUCUGAGAGGAUGAUCAGCCACACUGGAACUGAGACACGGUCCAGACUCCUACGGGAGGCAGCAGUGGGGAAUAUUGGACAAUGGGCGCAAGCCUGAUCCAGCCAUACCGCGUGGGUGAAGAAGGCCUUCGGGUUGGAAAGCCCUUUUGUUGGGAAAGAAAAGCAGCAGGUUAAUACCCCGCUGUUCUGACGGUACCCAAAGAAUAAGCACCGGCUAACUUCGUG
rnacentral:rRNA from 1 species